rnacentral:rRNA from 1 species
AUACGGAGGAUCCGAGCGUUAUCCGGAUUUAUUGGGUUUAAAGGGUGCGCAGGCGGCCAUUUAAGUCAGCGGUUAAAUCGUGGGGCUCAACCCCAUUCUGCCGUUGAUACUGGGUGGCUUGAUUGCGGUCGAGGUUGGCGGAAUUCGUUGUGUAGCGGUGAAAUGCAUAGAUAUGACGAAGAACACCGAUUGCGUAGGCAGCUGACCAGACCGCAAAUGACGCUCAUGCACGAAAGUGCGGGGAUCGGACAGGAUUAGAUACCCUGGUAGUCCGCACAGUAAACGAUGAAUACUUGUUUUCGGCGAUAUAAUGUCGGAGGCAAAGCGAAAGCGAUAAGUAUUCCACCUGGGGAGUACGCCGGCAACGGUGAAACUCAAAUGAAUUGGCGGGG